UACUGGGAUGGGUGUGGGGAAGUUCUGAACUCCUUGCCUCUCGCCUAUGUCAACUCCAGGAUGACACAUACACAAAGGUACCUUUUACAGGUGGCUUAACCUAAUCGGUGGUCAACCAACUAUGUGAUCAUGUACAAGUCCCUUCAUCUCUGUGACUCACGUUAAAGCAAGAUAGGACCCUUGCCCCGACUGAGUUGCUGUGGAAUAGCAGAGCAACUUCAUGAACAGCAGGUAUCUGCUUCAGUUCCAGCCUCCAUACUCCUGCCUUGGGUUCCUGCCCCAACUUCCUUCUUUGCCGGACUGUCAUGUGGAAGUCAAUAGAACAUUAACUAAAACCCUGCAAGAGCAAGAUAAAUGGGGCGGACCCACACUUGGUCAAACACAAUAGACUGAGAAGGUUAAAAGGCAUUUGAGAACAAUGAACCAUCAGCGCUGCCUCCUGUCUAUCUGGGAAGACGGCUGCCUGCGUCCCACUCCAUUUCAGCAAUGAGGUGUCACAGGAGGCUUAAACACAUAACCCCUGCAAAGAUGGAAAUGAGUGUUUCUCAGCGAAAGGGGAAGCGGAGGGGGUGAGGAGGUGGAGGAAAGAGCACCGCUAUGCUGCGCGUUGAUGGCCUUAUAUUUCCAAGCCCUGGGAAAGAAGAAUUGGAGCUGCAGAACUCAAUAUAGAGCAGCGAUCUGUGGUUGGGGGAAUGCCGCACAUCUGCCUUUUAUAGGUUUGCAAUGAAAAAUGUUUUUAAUUAAGGAGUGGAAUUGGGGCUUUUAGUCUUGCUACAUACUAUGUACCUGUCAAACCUGCUGGAUGGGAAUUUAGCUGUGACCUCUCACCCCCCACCUACGUUAACCCGAGGACUGCUAGAACUCAGAAGAACUCUGAGCACCUGAGAAGGCCUCUGUGCCCUACUCAGAGUCCCUCCUGGCACGGGUCACUGCAACAUGAUUGUCUCCUUGUGGAAGCGAAAGGUGGGCAGUACCAUUGUCAGUUACAAACUGACGCUGUAAGCCAGGGAGGCUUAGGGGCCAACGUAGCUAUAAUGACGAUAAAAACACAGAAAUGAUUUUUGUUUUAAGUUAAGAAGCACACCGGUACCAGAAGUGGUAAUGUUCUGUGCGCAGAACAAAACACCUAAGGAAUGAAUCCUCCUCAUCCCCCAACCCUGCGACUCCCGCUCUUACGGUGACAGCCAAGCCUUAGGUGCCACUAACAAGGGCUGGGCUGGUCUUUCUGGGAUUUCAUAGGAAGGAGCAGUAGCUACAUGCUUUCCAAAGCCUUAACAUUCUCUGCAUUUUUACACACCCUUUUCGCUGGCUUUAUUCUUUCUGUCUCUCCCCUGUAACAUCUCAUCUCAAUAGUUGAAGAACCAAUGACAGCAUAACACCUUCUAGAUCCAAGGGUUGACCUUUACCCUUUAACAGGCUCUGAAAACUUUUUAGUGUGACCUCUCUGAUACUUAAAGCAAAAUCUUGAGUUAGUCUAUCAAACACAAACCAUUCUUUCUCUUCUCUCCCUUUCUUUUCGCCUUCCUCUCUUCCUUUCCCCUCCUAUCCUUAAACAAGUACCUGACCGACACAUAGGUAAAAUAGCUCUACAUCCAGUUCAAAUGUCACCUCCAUGCUGAUGUAUCCCCCCCUCACUAGGCAGAAACAACCGUUCUUGUGCGCACUGCAUCAACACAGGGCCUGUGCUGUUGCAUCUUCUCUUCCUUGUUGUUACAUCAUUACAUCACGAUUUAGGGGCAUAAUCCCUGCCUUCCUUGAUCUGUCUGCAAGGCAGAAAAGCUCUGCUCUUCUUUGACUUCCAAGCACUUAGCACAAUUCCCGGCCUGCUGAAGAUGCCCCAGGAUUGUUGUUAGAAGAAACUGAGUUCAAAGCAGAAAAAGGAAAAGAAUCAGGAAAACCAUGGUAGGUUUUGGAAGGCUUGAUGGAGAAAAGUAUGAUCAUGGACUAAAGUCCAAUUCUUUUUUUUUUUUUUUUUUU